CAGGGAAUGAGAACAAACCUAUAACAAAUUGAUAACUCAUUUUGUUACUGAUAACAAAAUGAAAUCAAAACAAGUUUUCGUUCCGAAUUGUUUUUUUAUUUCAUAUCAAAUUGAGAUAUCAUUUUGUUAUCAUUUCAAAAACUCAAUGUUAACAAGAUUUGGUUUCGAAAAUCAAAAAUAGGUUUAAUAUAAUAAAGCAUAUUAAACAUCAAUUAUAUUCACAAAAUAUUUGUUAAAUCUACCUGAGUAUUGUACUUCCAUAUUGACACAUAAUUUGCAAUUAUGCUGAUUCUGGGUAAAGGUCAUGCUAUUGAUUUAAAUUGGUUCAAUAAGUCUUUUUAGGGUAACUCCCUGGCCAAGUUCGCAGGGUUUGACGGUAUUAAAGUGAAGGUUAUUGUAAUGUAGUAUUCUUUAGUGAAUCAUAUCACCUUUUUAACACUUUAAUGCGCCUCCAACGGUUCAUCACGAACCGGCUGCUGCAGAUGGAGUAUGGCUGAUCAUAUGUUUUUGCAUGUUCAUCAGACAUGCUCGAUAAACACGGAGGGACCGCCGGGGCUCAAUAGAUUCUAUACCCAAGCAAUAGUUCCAAGUUGGUUGGAUUUGAGAAGGUUUUGAGGAUCGUUACAAAUCCUACUAGAAAUAUUAUAGGUUUUGUAACAGGUUUUGAAAACUUUUUAUUGCCAGUAGACUUGAAAAUGCUGUUUGGGCUUUCUUUCCCACGUUUUUUGGUUGAUUUUGAUUCACUACUAAAUUUAUAAUAAUUUGAGUAAUUUACAAUAAUUAAAUAUAUUUAAAUUAGUAAUUUUAUCAAAACAAAUUUGUUUUUUAAUAUUACAAUGAUAUCCAGUAAUAUUCUCUUUAUAUAAAUCUGGUAAAAUCAACCGAAUAGUAGGAAGGAAAGUUGCAGCACAUAAUAGUGCUGAUAGAUUCGAAGCUAACGUGCGAACAAUGGAUUACUGCACGAUACUACUGGCCUGCUUGCUCUCACACAUGGUUUGACGUUUGAGCUGUGACGACACCGCUCAAACGCCAAAUUAUCUUUGGGAGUGAGCGGGCCGGCCCAAGUUCGUGCAGUGGACCAUACUUUAACACUUUAUUGGCGUCAAUGCGUUCGACGUGACAUUUUGGACAAAAACUGAUUGUUUCUAAGCUGAAGAACGUUACUUGUGUAUGACUAGGCUGACAUUUCUAGGUUACGGGGAGAAAAUGACUAGGUUUAUCUAGGUAGGACGGAUAGGACAAAUGAACGGAUUGGCUCUGUUUUAAUAGUUAGGUUGUUUUCUGUCUCGUAUCAUUGGAAGUCCAUGCAUGACAUGUUCAAAACUAGUGUCUAUCAUUGGGGAUGGCGCCAGUGCUGUAGGUGGCUACCAACAUAGGUGUUAUCGCAGUAAAGGUUGUUGUCUUCAAUUGGUAUUUGACCAUAAUUAUUUCAACUAUACAUUUUACAUAAUAUUUCUUGGAGAUAGCAUAGGCACAGUUGUCAACAUAGACAGCAUUUUGUGCUAUGUUAUUUCCAAGAAGUAAUAGCAAGGAUAUAAAUAUUCCUGGUGCUUCAGGUCUCGCGGGUAAAGAUUUAUUCUGAUAGCUUCAUAUACUUCACAUGACUGAGGGUAGACAGACAUGACUAAUACAUCUACGGGAGGGAAAAUGCAAAAUUUUGAUUAAAACUACUUAGGCACAAUGUAAAAACUAGUGUUAAAUUGGGCAACAUAGCCUAUUCCGUCUAAACAUUGGUCUUGGUAGAGAUGAAAUUUGAAUAACGGGUUCAGCCUUGACAAUCAAGCUGUCACGCAGCUCCAACUGAAAACCCAUAAAAAAAAAAGUCUUUUUAGGGUAACUGGUAAUUAUCGGCAGUGUUGUUCUCUUCGUUAUGCGGGGUUUUUCAUCGGCCAAAUUGCUUGAAACUUGGUCGUAUAGCUCAACUUGGUUGGGAAAGAUUUGAGGCCAACGUUGAAUUCAACAGGUUUCAAAAAGCCUUCCAUAACGAAGAGAACAAAACUGCUCAGAGUAUAUACAAAAGUUCCCCUAUAUUAAUUAUUUUAAACUAAACAUAUUGCUGAAUAUUUUGAAGUUUGAACUAAAGGGUGAUUAUUUCUCCAAUUCUGUAUUUUUUGAAAACUGCACUAUUCACACUUUCGUAAGAGAAUAAUGAGAGUUCCACAGUAUAGACUGUUUCAGAAAUUAUAAAUACACUUUGUUUAUUAAAUAAAAUGAACUGUUCUGAAAAUUUCAACCAACUUCUUUCAGAACACAGCAUAUCGUGAUCCACAUUUUUGUAUUCCCUUUCAAUUGUCAUGAUUUUUAGAAGAACAGUCGAAUUCUCUAUCAAUUAACUUAUUUCUCCAUAUUUCCAUUCGCACAAAGGUGUUUUUUAAAGAUUUUAUCUAACUUUUUAUCAUAUUCGUUUUCUCCACAAGUUGUCAAAAAAAUGCCUUUAACCUGGGAGAAAUCGAUAAAGUCAUUUGCACAACUUUUUUUUCUGACAUCAAGUUUCUUAUUUUUUAAGGUUUUCACCGAAACAUAAGAACUACCACACAGUUUCUUAGCUUUCCUGAACACAUCUAAUUUUAACUAAUUUAUUUUUUCAUCUCAUUUGAUCCUUCAGAUGGCAUAGCUUGCCAUACCAUAAAAACGAACCCAGUAAGCAGUAAAUAAGACAUUCGUUUGCUAAACGUUUGUUGCCACAUGAGUUGUUGAGAAAUUUGAAACAACAAUUGUUGCAUUGAGAAUGCCCGUUAUGAUGGUUCUUGAUCAAAUAUUCUAGCAAAAAUUGUUUUAUCCAAUCGAGACAUAUAUUUUCUUAUCGAAACUGUAAUUUUCAUUGUGUUUGGAAAUAGAACAUUUUAUUUGUGAGAUUUUUUUUUCUUUUCUAUUAUGCUAAAUUUUUUGACCACUUUUUGUAACUUCAAAUUUUAAUCAUCUAGUUUACAGAGCCCCAUUUUUUUAAACUUUUACAAGAAACAUCAACAAAAUUGGUAUUAUUUGCCUCAUUAGAAUGUAUACUAUAAGAGCUAGAGGAAACUUUUUUGGAUAUUGUGCUCAAAUUGAAAUGGCAUCCAAUCGUUAGUGUAUUUAUAAUUUCUGAAACAGUCUAUAGGUACUCAAAAUUUUCUCACACUUUAGGUCGUUUGGCAUAAAGUCAUUUGGCAUUAUAGCCAAUUGGCAUAUUGUUCAUUUGGCAUAAUUCUAACUUAAAGACAAAUGAAGUUGGAUAUGGCCAACCGAAGUAAUUCGCGGUCAUUCUACUGCCGAAGGUCACAUAUUUUACCUUUAUAAAGUUUUUUUUUGCGUGAAAAAGGAUUCAUUGUAGCUCCGUACCAAUAUUAUAAAUCCCGAGAUGUUUGAAACAGUUUUGAAAAUAACACAGAUAUUUAUCAUACAUGAAAAUGAUGAAUGCCAUUUCAUUUAUUGUUAUGCCAAACGGCCAUUUUGCCAAACGAAUGUUCUGCCACAUUAUGAAAUUUGAUCAUUAUGCCAAAAGACUAUGCCAAACCCGAUAGAAUUAAUGUAGUAAAUAUUUUUCCAAUCGAAUGCCUUAUUUUUUCAAUGUCAUCAUUUUUUCUCGGGUAACGAGGGAAAGAGCUGAGAGGCCGAAUUCGACUCAAUUCGUUGGUCGAUGUCAUUCAAUUUGAGCCCAAUGCCUUUGGCUCUGGGAUGUAGUGAAAACCUCCCACAUUUGUUUUACUGCAGUGCAUAUAAUCAGAAGGAAAAGCUGAAAUGUAAUUAUACAAAAAUAUUACGUGCAGUUAUCCUUUGACUUCAAAUUUACUCUUCUUUGUCACUUCAAUGUACAUCAUCCAUAAUCUUUUGGUUGAAUUAUACUGGAUAUCUGUGAGGAUUAGAGUGGGUCAACGUUGUAUGGAGAAACUUUAAAUUUGAUCGUAUCGAUCCGGAACAAAGCUUUUUCAAUCUAUACACCUUGUCCUUUUUAUACGUCCAUGCUUGGCUGAGCGACGAAAAAUUCUACCGCUAAGACAAUGAGCAAACUCAACAGUUUUAUAUUUUUUAAAACAUCUACGUGAUUAGGAGAAGUGUACAAAAAUAUAAAAAUGUGUAUUUUGAUCAUUAUUUUGUCGGUAGAAUUAUUGUUCGCUACGUAAAUCAAGGUUUAGGUGUAUUUGCGUCCAAAACAACUGUGCAAAAUUUGGGAGCGAUUGGUUAGGUCCCUGUAUUCCGCAUUGCGAUUGAAAUUUGUAUGGAGGUUAGUAUGGGAUAACGUACUUUUUUGCAUUUUACUCAUAAGUUGAAUUCUUUUGCCUAGUACCAUGUAAA